CCGUCCCCGCCCCCGGGCUGCGCUCUGCGGAGCGGCCCCGCGGAGACAGAACGCCCCGGUGCCCGGCUCGCGAGAUCUCUGGCGGCGGGAAAUGAGCCGGGCUGGUAUCUCCCCAGCGCGAGAUAGAGCUCCAGAACUUCCUAAAUAUGAUUCUCUUUGAACCUCUACGAACUUAGGUCAGUGCAGCAUACAUUUCUAAGCACAUGCCACACUACGUGUCAGGAGUACAUAUGAGCAUACUCAAAGGAGCUUUAAUUAAGAAAUACUAGGAAGUCUUCACUGAACAUAAAAUCUUUAAUGCUGAUAGAACAAAACAGGAGAAUGCUCUGUUCUACUGAAAGAAAGCCAGAGACUCCAUAUCCAGAACCAGUUGUAAGAACAUGUC